rnacentral:rRNA from 1 species
AGUGAACGCUGGCGGUAGGCCUAACACAUGCAAGUCGAACGGCAGCACAGUAAGAGCUUGCUCUUACGGGUGGCGAGUGGCGGACGGGUGAGGAAUACAUCGGAAUCUACUUUUUCGUGGGGGAUAACGUAGGGAAACUUACGCUAAUACCGCAUACGACCUACGGGUGAAAGCAGGGGAUCUUCGGACCUUGCGCGAUUGAAUGCGCCGAUGUCGGAUUAGCUAGUUGGCGGGGUAAAGGCCCACCAAGGCGACGAUCCGUAGUUGGUCUGAGAGGAUGAUCAGCCACACUGGAACUGAGACACGGUCCAGACUCCUACGUGAGGCAGCAGUGGGGAAUAUUGGACAAUGGGCGCAAGUCUGAUCCAGCCAUACCGCGUGGGUGAAGAAGGCCUUCGGGUUGUAAAGCCCUUUUGUUGGGAAAGAAAAGCAGCAGGUUAAUACCCCGCUGUUCUGACGGUACCCAAAGAAUAAGCACCGGCUAACUUCGUG